CGAACGGGUGAGUAAUGCGUGACCAACCUGCCCCAUGCUCCAGAAUAGCUCUUGGAAACGGGUGGUAAUGCUGGAUGCUCCAACUUGACGCAUGUCUUGUUGGGAAAGUGUUUAGUGGCAUGGGAUGGGGUCGCGUCCUAUCAGCUUGUAGGCGGGGUAAUGGCCCACCUAGGCUUCGACGGGUAGCCGGCCUGAGAGGGUGAUCGGCCACAUUGGAACUGAGACACGGUCCAAACUCCUACGGGAGGCAGCAGUA
rnacentral:rRNA from 1 species